GACGAACGCUGGCGGCGUGCUUAACACAUGCAAGUCGAGCGAGGCCCCUCCUUCGGGAGGGUGUCCUAGCGCCGAACGGGUGCGUAACACGUGGGCAACCUGCCCCCGGCUCUGGGAUAACUCCACGAACUUGGGGCUAAUACCGGAUAUUACCUCUGACCUCAUGGUCUGGUGCUUGAAUGAUUUCUCGGCUGGGGAUGGGCCCGCGGCCCAUCAGCUUGUUGGUGGGGUAGUGGCCUACCAAGGCGACGACGGGUAGUCGGCCUGAGAGGGUGAACGGCCACACUGGGACUGAGACACGGCCCAGACUCCUACGGGAGGCAGCAGUGGGGAAUAUUGCGCAAUGGGCGGAAGCCUGACGCAGCGACGCCGCGUGGGGGAUGACGGCCUUCGGGUUGUAAACCUCUUUCAGCAGGGACGAAGCGAAAGUGACGGUACCUGCAGAAGAAGCACCGGCCAACUACGUGCCAGCCGCCGCCGUAA
rnacentral:rRNA from 1 species